GCUAAAGCUCCGAUUGGACCCUAGCCUGAGAACCUCCAUAUGCUGCAGGAGUGGCCCUAGAAAAGACAAAAAAAAAAAAAAAAAAAAAACUUUUUAAAAACCAAAACCAGGAGUUCCCACUGUGGUGCAGUGUGUUAAUGAUCUGGCUUGCCUCUUUGGAGGCGCUGGUUUGAUCCCCAGCCCAGUGCAAUGAGUUGAAGAUCCACAGUCACUGCAGCUGUGGCGUAGGUCACAGCUCUGCCUUGGAUUCGAUUCCUGGCCUGGAACCUUCCGUAUACCACAGGGGCAGCCGAAAAAGAAACAAAACAAAACAAAAAUGCCACCAUGGCCUCUGGCUUUCCAAAAGUUCUAGUCUAAUUCUCUUGUCAUGGUAAGUGGCUUGACUUAAUUGAUGGCUCCUGAGCAAAAGCAAUUAAAGAAGAUGUGUGGACAGUCCAAAGACAGCAUCCGGAAGCCUCAGAUGUUCUCACUGAUCUUGGGAAAAUGUCCUUUUCUAUCUUUUCAGCUAUUCCACCAACAAAGCAAGUAAAGCUGCCUCUGUUCUCCUAUAUUCUCUAUGGACGCACACAGAGCUCCAUAAUGCCUAUAAGAAGGCUCAAUUUAAGAAGACAGAUUUUGUCAACAGCCGGACGGCCAAAGCCUACCACUCCCUGAAAGACUGAAGAACAUGAAUGAAAAAGUGCUCUCAGAAAUGAACUUCAUCAUUCUCAGUCCCAAAAAGCCCCAAAGGAAAACACCUAUUUUUCUACUGCCCAGCCCAAGAAACCUUAAAAACGCAUGCCCUGUUUCUAUCCUUUUCUAUUUCCAUAGCCCCCAGGAUCCAGAAAACACAUAAGCAGAAUGUAAUUUUUUUUAGUCUUCCAGAAGACUUCUGCAAGUUUGCCACCAGUAGAUACUGGCAACAGGCUCGAUUUUGCCCUCUACAAAUAGUGGUCUUUUUGAUCAGGGCUGACGGGGCAUGGCCUCCUAGAAUCAAAAUGUGAAUUACUGUGGAAUGGACAUUAACAGAAUGAAUAAGGAAGGAAGCUCUUAUAUUACUAGGAUUUUAAAAGUUUGAUUUUCAUUUGUGUUCCUUUUCUGGUUUCCAUAUUUUGUCACUCACAUGCAUGAUGCUUCACCAUUGAGCCAUGAGUAUAUUGUUCUGCAGUGCUGAAACAGAAUGGAAACAACAAGAAAUAUUUAUGGAGUUAUCCAGAAAAAAAAUUUAAUGGCAGAAUUCCUUGUUUGUUUACUUUGUGCUUGUUUUUAUACUCUUGAAUUUUUUUUCUCUGAUUUUCAAUGAACUUAAGAAAUUUAGAUCACAGAGCAUGCAUGACUGUAAUCAAAAGAAAUUGAAAAGAAGUAAUUGGAGUUUCUGCUGUGGCAGAAUGGAAUUGGGAGCAUCUCUGCAGCAUGAGGACACAGGUUGGAUCCCCAGUCCAGCAAAAUGGGUUAAAGGAUCUGGUGUUGCCACCUCAGCUGUGGCUCAGAUCUGAUCCCUGCCCUGGGAAUUCCCUAUGCCUCAGGGGAGCCAAAAAAGUAAAAAUGAAAAGUGAUCAUAGCAAAAUUUAAGGCACCUAUGGUUAUGAAAUUCAGUGUUUCCUGUAAAACCCUGAGCAAAUGGGAUUUUUGCUCAAGGAAGUGCUUUA
ensembl:lncRNA